CAGAAACUGGGCAAGAAAAGUGAAGGAAAGUUGUAGAAUUGUCUAGGAAAAACAUGGGAAGUGAGGCAAAGAGCAAUGGCGGCAGCGGCGGAGGAGGAGCAUUCAGGUCAAAAAUAGAUCAUUUCUUGUACAGUGGUGACAAGAAGCAUGUCUUGGCUGGUAUCGCCAUCAUCAGUGUUGUUUUUGGCGUCCCCUGGUACCUUAUGAACCGAGGAACAAAACAUCAGUCCCAUCAAGAUUACGUGGAAAGGGCUGAUAAAGCACGGAGUGAAAGACUUUCCUCUGGUUCUGCUUCUGCUCGAUGAGCAGGGAUUGGUUUCCAGUGAGAAUUUUGACAGUUAAAAGUAUAAUGGCCAUUGGUUAUCGGGCAUGCCUUCCUUGGCCUUUCAUUUGCCAAAACUAGUUUACCGCCCUGAUCAGGGUGAUUUUAUUUCUUAUGUUAUUGAGAUACGCAUGUGAUUAUCAGGUGAAAAGAUGAAAUAUUUGGGAAUUAGAAGCCCCACCAUCAGAAAUUUUCUUCUGGCAAUUUGGUAGUAAGAAAAAUGGUUUGUAGUCAAACAAAUAUGGUUUCCUCUUCUUCUUCUUCAUAUAAUGUCAAAAAAUACAAGGAUCCCAAUUUCCCCAUAUGCCUUAUUUAAUGUGUAUUCAUUAUAUGCAUAAUUUUUACGUUGAUGUCAAUUACAA
rnacentral:misc_RNA from 1 species